GAGACUAUUGCGGUUUUUAAAGUUGCGCCCUUCUAAGGCGUAGGUCGCACGUUCGAAUCGUGCUGGGCAGGCCA
rnacentral:tRNA from 1 species